AGUCAAUAGAUACCCAGGUAGUCCUGGCCGUAAACGAUGCGGACUUGGUGUUGGGAUGGCUUCGAGCUGCUCCAGUGCCGAAGGGAAGCUGUUAAGUCCGUCGCCUGGGAAGUACGGUCGCAAGACUGAAACUUAAAGGAAUUGGCGGGGAGCACCACAACGCGUGGAGCCUGCGGUUUAAUUGGACUCAACGCCGGCAUCUCACCAGGGGCGGACAGCAGGAUGAUGGCCAGGUUGAUGACCUUGCUUGACGAGCUGAGAGAAGGUGCAUGGCCGCCGUCAGCUCGUAACCGUGAGGCGUCCUGUUAAGUCAGGCAACGAGCGAGACCCACGCCCUUAGUUACCGAGCGGGUCCUUUUUAGGAUGCCGGGCACACUAA
rnacentral:rRNA from 1 species